rnacentral:rRNA from 1 species
GACGAACGUUGGCGGCGUGCCUAAUACAUGCAAGUCAACUGAAAUACCGGUAGCAAUACUGGUAUGGAGGUGGCGCACGGGUGAGUAACACGUAGGUAAUCUGCCUUCAGGCCUGACAUAACCCAUCGAAAGGUGAGCUAAUAUCAGAUGAUGCAGCGGCUUGACAUCAAAGACAGUUGUUAAAGCUUCGGCGCCUGAAGAUGAGCCUGCGUCUGAUUAGCUAGUUGGCGGGGUAACGCCCACCAAGGCUGCGAUCAGUAGCUGGUCU